rnacentral:lncRNA from 1 species
AAUAAUAUUUAAUUGGCAUAACAAUUGCAUGAGGUUUUUUACACUAUAAGUGAUCAAACAAGUUUAUAUUUUGUUACAAGAAAAAAAAUGGCUGAAUUUCUCAAAUCUGUUUUUAUAGUGACCCUUUUUGUUUCUCUAUUUCUAGUUGUAAUCAAAGGUGCAGGUAAGCUCAUUCUAAUUUUUAUUUUUUCCUUAUCUUAUACACAAUUGUUCACAAUUUUUUAGUAAUAUUUUUGUAUUCUUUGUUUACACUACAGAAAUGGAAUGUGUUAGAAAAGAAGAUUGUUACGAAAAGCUUCCAUAUCUUCGUCGUAUAAGAAUGAUUUGCGUAAAAGGUUAUUGUAAAUAUAGGGCCCGUUUGGAAUAGCUUAUUUUUGAACUUAUGUUAAACAGUUUAGACAAAUAAAUAAUUUUUUAUAUAUUAUUACUAUUUUUAAAAUUGCUACUUUUAAUUCUUAACGCCGGCUUAUUCGGCCAUCUAGUGUGAUUAUAUUGGAUCACGUAUGAUAUUAAGGGAUUAAAAGUAAGAUCUUUUUGAAUUUGCAGGUACUGAUUCCAAACUAAAACACUUACAGAGACUAAAUAAAAAAAUUGUACAAUUACAGUGUCCAAAAUUAUUUUUAAACCUAUCUUUAUGUGUAUACCCCUUUAAAUGACGCAAAAUGUAUUUCACCCCAUGUUAAUUUUUUGUGAGUUUCUCUAGUAUGAAUUAUACACAUGCUAUCCUUAGAACGAGACUAGGAGAGUAGAUCGAGGUGUUUGUACAAGAAGAUAUAUAAAGUAGAAAAUUAUUCUUUUACCUAUGUUUUGGUGUUCUUGAAACCUUGUUGGAUAAUUGUUUACGUUUAAAUUGGGUUGUAAGGCUUUGAAUUUGAUAAUGUGAUAUUGAGAAAACAUUACAUAUAUUAUUUUAUUAUGAGAAUAAUUGUAAGGCU